AUUGAACGCUGGCGGCAUGCCUUACACAUGCAAGUCGAACGGCAGCACGGGAGCAAUCCUGGUGGCGAGUGGCGAACGGGUGAGUAAUAUAUCGGAACGUGCCCAGUAGUGGGGGAUAGCCCGGCGAAAGCCGGAUUAAUACCGCAUACGACCUGAGGGUGAAAGCGGGGGAUCGCAAGACCUCGCGCUAUUGGAGCGGCCGAUAUCAGAUUAGCUUGUUGGUGGGGUAAAAGCCUACCAAGGCGACGAUCUGUAGCUGGUCUGAGAGGACGACCAGCCACACUGGGACUGAGACACGGCCCAGACUCCUACGGGAGGCAGCAGUGGGGAAUUUUGGACAAUGGGCGCAAGCCUGAUCCAGCCAUGCCGCGUGCGGGAAGAAGGCCUUCGGGUUGUAAACCGCUUUUGUCAGGGAAGAAACGGCUCUUGAUAAUACCGAGAGCUAAUGACGGUACCUGAAGAAUAAGCACCGGCUAACUACGUGCCAGCAGCCGCCGCGG
rnacentral:rRNA from 1 species